rnacentral:lncRNA from 1 species
CGGCCAAGCCCUCAAGGAUGACAUUGCAAAGCCAAAUAUAUUCCUAGGGUCUUUGGUGUAAGAUGCAAGGGCCUCAUUACGAAUGUUUAAAAACUUCAAGGGUUGUUCUAUAAAACACGAAACUUAGAUUUGAUUUAAAAUCUAUUUAAACGGCUAAAACUUGGAAAAUAUCUAGGAAAAUGUAGAAAAAUAUGAAAUUUGUUUUGUUAGGUUCCUAAUGAUGUCUAG